ensembl:lncRNA
GGAGAACAAACUGAGAGGCAGCAGGGCCAAGGGAAACCAUUUUAGGUUAAGGCCAUGCCUCUCACCCGUGAAUGUGCAUUCAGAUCACAGGAAACCUGUCAAUAUGCAGCUUAUGACCCAGGAAUGAGGGCAGGGCCAACAUGGCCUGGAAGAGAUGGGAGUUGGUGUGCCAUCUUGGACCAGGGAAGCAGAUUUCUUUACCAUCUGAGCCACUAUGGAAGACAGACAUGUAAAUAAAUGAAUGCAGUGACUUCUGAUAAAGCAUGAGCUGUUCAGAAAACAGCCAGCAGACUCUCAGCACUUCAAAGGACACUCCCAGAAUGAGUAUACAGUUGGAAUCAGUAUGACAGUGAGUCAGCCUGGUGAGCCGAAGGCCUGCUGGCUUAUGGACCAUACUGGGGAGAGGCCUUGGCAACACUGCCCAGAAGUGGACCAUGCCAGCUGAGAAGAGGCCCCAUCCAGGGAAAACCCUGAUGAUUGGAGUGUGCACAUGUAGAUGGUAACUGGCCAAGGGGUGGGGGCAGUGAGAGCUUCCAGACAGCUAUUGGGAAAAUGCUGAGGUGGCCAACAUGGCUUCUCACUCCCAGGGCACGGACCCGGAGGAGCCUGUGGUCUUUCAUGUUGUAGCUGUCUAGGGCCUUGGAUUAGUUUUCUAUGACUGCUCUCACAAAUUAUCAUGAAUGUAAUAGCUUAAAGCAACACAGAUUUAUGGUUCAAGAGGUCAAAAGUCUGACUAGGUCUCACUGGACUAAAAUCAAGGUGUUGGAAGGGCUGUGUUCCUUUCUAGAGGAAAAUUAAUUUCCUUCCUUUUCCUGCUUCAGGAGACUGUCCACAUUUCUUGACUUGUGGGCCCCUUCCACCUUCAAAGCCAGCAAUGGCCCAUCAAAGCCUUUCUCAUAUGACAUCAUUCCUGACUCUUCUGCUUCCCUCUGCCGCAUUUACAGAUCCUGUGAUUACAUUGGCCCCGCCUGUAUAAUCCAGGAUGCUAUUUCUAAAGUCAACUGAUUAGCAACCUUAAUUUCAUCCGUUUCCUCAAUUCUCCCUUGCCAUAUAACAUAGUCAUAGGUUCCAGGGAUUAGGACAUAGACAUCUUUGUGAGGUCAUUAUUCUGCCUACCAUAGGCCCCCCGCCAAAUGGAAAAGCUGAGAACCCUGAUCACGGGCAUUCAAGCCCAACUGAGAGCCUGCUAAGCAGCUGGCAGUCUCUGCUGCUUCCUGGAGAAGAAUCACCUGGGGUCUGCUGCAGAGAAAAGGUUGGGAAAUCACAUGAAUGAUGCUUAAAGAGCUUCAGAUACACCCAUCUUCCUGAGAAGACUCAACUCAAAGUCUAGAGCAUCAGUGCCUGUGCUCCCUACCAGAGCCUAGAAAAAGAAUCAUCCCACAGGGUCAAAUUAAUUACAGGAGCCAGGAAUCCUGCUGAACAAUGACCACAAGACACAGUUUCUAGGAGAAUGUGAGCAUUCUCCACAGGUAACUCAGCUCCAAAAUCUUGAAAGUGUAUCCAGAACAAUUCUUAAUCAUGUGUUUUGGAUACAUUAGGGACACUUUAUUCAAAAGCAGGUUGAGCCUGUGGGUGUUUCAUGUGUCUCCCUUCUAGGGUUAACGUAGUACUUGUAACAUGCUUCUAUUUCUUGGUCUUGACACAGCUCCUUCAGGAGUAUGCAGGAGAGAGGCCUCGGAUUCCAACACUGCUUGGCUACCCAUUCAGGGUUAACUCCAGCCAUAUACUUUUAGUCUGACCAGAUUGAAACGUUUAGAUUUAAAAAUUUUAAGCAUCUUAUUAUUAUUUAUAUUUUCAGUGCUUCUAAGCCACUCCAAAAUCAUGGCAGUAGCUUUCUCUGUCAGUCUCUUACGAGCAGGGCUGAUUCCCUCUGUGAGUUUGGUCAGGUUACUUGACCUCUCCACGUCUCAGUUUCCUCAUCUGUACCUUGAGGAUAAUAAAAGCACCUGCCUCAAAAGGCUGGAGUCAGGAGCAGAUGAGAGACCACACAAAGCCCUUAGAAUAGAGCACAAUACUUGGUAAAAGCUCUGAUGCAUCUUGGCUGUUACAGUUAUCAAAAGACCUAACAAGAUAUGAAGCUUUUCUCUUCUGGCCAGAGAACCAGUCAUUUUGAUAUCUCAAGAACACUGAUAUUCACCCAAUCUUGACUGCAGCAGAUAUAUUCCUAAGCAAAGUUUCCUUUGUAUUGCUCUACAGGAAUACUGUUCCCAUAUGGCUGUUUCUUAUAGUCAAAGGGAGACAUCAAGCCCUAUUUCAAGUGGGUGAAUGACAGGCAGAUGGAGAGCAGAGCAGCUAUACCAAGGUCUCUUCUCAGUUUGGAAUAGGGACACAAAUACAGCAGAGGGCAUUCUCUUGGGGCUCUCUGGUGUCCAGUUUAUCUUAAUUCAAACUCAAAAGAGAAGCCUCCCAGAACAAUGUCAUGUAGCCCUCAGGGUCAGCCCAAUCCUACUAAUUCAAAAGGCCACCUGGACAAUCUUUCUCAUGAACAGAUUUUGGCCAAACUAGUUUUAAUGCAGCUUCAAACCUCCAUGCCCCAGCUCCACUUCCAUCUCUGUACUUUGUGGCACAGUGUUAAACAACACAGAAUGGUCACUGGGUUCUGUAAAGAAGCAUGAGUCCUUGGGCUUCCCGCCCCACCCCAGGACUGCUUGCUGACCUCUGACCUCAUGCCUGGUCAUCUGCUCUUUCUGCUCUCAUGGUAGUUCCCCAGCCUGCCUCCAAAAGGCCAGAUUCUACAACCAAGCCCAGAAGAGCUUCAGGGCUGGAGACCUGCAACCCCAAAUGGCACACAGGCCACAUAAAUUCCUCAGAUAUGCACCCCAAAGCAAAAGAGCCUCUGGGGAUUCAGUUUCUCUUACCAAGUUUGAGCUGAGGGAAAAACAUUUUAAAGGCAUGUGAGGAAAGCUGUCAGAGAACUGUUUUGCUCAACAUCAAAUGCAUUCCAGGCCUUAUCUAAUCAGGGAGUCUUCUUCACAGCUGAUGCAGAGGCCGUUCCUGCAAAUUGUUCCCGAGCCAGGGAAAGGGGCCUUGAUUUUAAAUACAAAAUAAUGGUCCUUUUGGCACAGGCAAAGUAGGUUGGCAGCUGGAGGUUUGGGGUGACCCCUGACCCUCUCCCACAGUUCCUCCUGAGUCCCGCUGCACAAAACUGAGCCAUCCUCAAACCCCAGGCUCUAAUUGGCUCUGGUUUGUUUUGCCUUUCUAUUCUAUCCAGAGCUUCAAAAGGCGCUUCCGUAAUUGUUUGAGGCAUGAAAAAGGCAGGUUUCAGCUUUCCUAACUGGAAUUGGAGGUAAUUACUGUCUUGCCCACACGAGCCGGUACAUGCUUCAAAUCAGAUGGCCCUGGGUUGUUUUAUAAAGUGUAGCUGGGCCUCUGAGCCAAGAGAGGGAGGAUUAUGGAGCCUUCCAAAGGCUUUGUUCCAGAGAGAGAAGAAUUCGAACACCUCAGAGAUGGUGAGGGGAAUUUCCAUAUUCUUUUGCGGUCACUGCAAGCCCUACCCAAGAGGCUUGGCUUGAAAAGAUUGUGUCCUCAAUCUAACAAAUUCAGGGGAAUUUUUGGUCCUCUCUCUAAAGAGACAGAAGCCUGACACCUCACAGGACUCCCAUUUUGUUUGUGAUCAGAAAUGACAGGCUUGGCCUGGGCUGUCCUGCUGAGACAUCUCAGGAUGGGGCCAAACUAAGCCAGGCAUACUGAGAGCCCAUCUCGGAGCACCAGAUUUGGGUUCACUUUUAUACUCUCAGCAAACCCAAAUACAGAGUCUCAGAUUCACCUCCCCAAGUGUGGACUGGGAAGCAGGACCCUGUUUCAAAUCUCAGCCUAUGAGCUGCAUGUCCAUAGGCAGCUGAGUCAUACGGCAAAUCCUUCUUGGCCUCCCCUAUAAAGUGAGAAGAGUGACUGGCCCAACCUCGUAGGGUUGCUGUGACAGCUAAAUGAGGUCAACUGUGGAAAGUGCUUGAGUGUAGCACUCACUACACAUAGUGAGUGCUCAAUUAAUGUCCACUGUUAUUAGCUAACAUAAUUGUCAGGGGCCUGGUUAUGAUGCUGGAGGAUCCACUCUGCAAAUGGUGGAGAUUUUCAAGACUCUUGGGAGUCUUGCAAUGGAGGAAGAAAAGAAGCUGCUGCAGGAGGAACCGAAGGAAGCUGAAGGGGGAACAGAGUGAUCACCCAUACCCACAAGUGUCUUCCCUCCCAGGGGCAUCACCAUAAAUAUACUAGGUUUCCUGAAACUGCACAGACUUGAGAUUUAGUUUUGCCUUUUUUCACUGAUAUACCUCAAUGAGGCUCAGGUGGUUAAACAGCAUUCACACACCAGUGUGAACUGGUUUACUUGCUUUCUCCCUAACACCUACACAGGCAGCAUCUCCAAGGGGCCAAGGAACUUGGAACUGAGGAAGAUAGAGAAAAUAACAGAGCUAUGAAGCACUUCCCAGGACAAAGCUAGUUGUUCCAAUUCUAGAAGUUCUGGUUUAAUCCACUCACUGGCUCACAGACAGCUUGCUUGGCUCAUGGGAAAAAAAGGAUGUGGGAGUCAGUGUCCUGGGAGCAGUGAAUUGCUUUUCUGAUUUUUGUAUUUGCAUGUCCACUACUCCUAAGUGCAAUUGACCAGCCUUUUCAAGUGGCUUUCAGGGCUCCUCCUCUGUCCAAGAGAGCUCCAUAUGGGCAGCCCAGGGUGCAGGCCUCAGUCCUUUUACACAUCAUCCCUAAAUGACCUCAUCUGGGCCCUCUGAUGAGGGCUCCAGUCUUCUUCUGUGUUGCUGACUCCCAAACCAGCUUCUCUCCUGAGCUGGGAAUUCAGUUGCCUACACGACAUCUCCCUUUCAAGUGUUCCCAACUAAACUUUCAGCAACCCCUUCUCCCCACCCUGUGCCACCCAAAACAAUGAAAACAAAAAAUCCCAUCAAUAAGGUCUCUUUGUAAAUGUUCUCGCCGCAGAUGACCAUCAAAACCAUUGGUCUCUUUAUACCAUGUGCUCUUCUUUCACAGCAUUUCAGACAAGCUAUAUUUAUUUUUAUGUAUUUUUGUAUAAUAUCUGUCCCUCAAUAGACUGAACUUCAUGAGGAUGAGAUGUGAUCUAUCUGCUUCCUGUUCUUCCCUGACACAUAGUGGUGGGGGGUUUAGUUGCUAAGCUCUGUGCAAUUUUUGAGACCUCAUGGACUGUAGCCUGCCAGGCUCCCCUGUUCAUGGAAUCCUCCAGGCAAACAAUACUGGAGUGGACUUUCAUUUUCUUCUCCAGGGGAAUCUUCCCAACCCAGGGAUCGAACAUUGGUCUCCUGCAUUGCAGACAGAUUCUUUACCAACUGAGGCCCAGGGAAGCCCUGAUGCAUAGUAGGUUCUUGCUAAUUAUUUGCUAAAUGAAUGAGUGAUUUCAAAGUGGAGAUGAGGCUUUGGGUAAGGAGGAGAGUUCUUAGGUACAAGAAGGCCAUGAAACCUCAGAAAAAAAUACUUGAGAUCACAUCUUGCUUUCCUGAAGUAGGCCAUUUGGCCACUUCCCCCUUCUACUUGAUGAAGUUUCAUAUUUGAUAAAAGCCCUGAACAGUUAGAACAAACAAGUAGGCCCUGAUCAUGAACUUGAUGAAGUGCUGUGAGCCUAAAUGCCUGAUAUGGGGAGUGCCUAAAUUAUACUCAGCAACAUGGUGGACUCUCAACUAUCCUUUUCAGUGGAUAAUUUAAUAGCCAAUAUUCUAGUAGUUUUAAUUUAAUAGUUCAUAAUCUUGAAAGUUUUACAUGUGGCUUUAUAUUAUGUUUCUGAAUUUGCAUCAGGAUACAAGGAGCUCUAACGGUUUAAGAAUUCACAAUAAUUUGAGCUCAAAUGUCCAAUGUCACUGUCCCAGUUGCCUGUUAACAACUCCUCUGGGCUCCAACCACAUGCAAAAGAAAAAAAAAAAAAACUGCGUUGGGCUUGGGAGGAAACUGCAUUGGCAUUUUUUGGGGAGCGGGGCUUUGUCAGAAUUAGAGUCCAAACUCCAGCCCUUCCUUCCACUUACCAGCUCUCUUUUCAUGUGAUCUGGCCUGGUCUUUGCUUUCUCAUCAACACCUUCCUCCCAGAACUGUUUGGAAAUGCAGUCAAGUUUUCAGAAAAAAAUUAAUCUGUACUAUUCCCUCAGGUAGAUGCAAAACAAGUCAAAAGCAAUGUUGAGCCCUCUGCAAAGUUUCUGUUUCACCUCUGAGGAAAGAAAGAUCUCUCUUCUCUUUUUCUUUCUUCUUUAAAGGGCCUUCUCUUCCUGAUCCAGUGGGCUAAAGUAAACAAGGGCCUUUUUCCAUAAAUCAUAUCUGCUUGUGAAAGCUCCCGCUAAUGCCUCUAGAAACCUGAAAGAAAAGUGCUGUCCUAGGCAAUCUAAUGUGGAAACACUGGGUCCUGCCUGGGCUCCUCUGCCUGGAGCCCUGGGUAGGGCUUCCACUGGCCCUAUCGAUGGCGUGAAUGGUGGUGAAUUUCCUCACGCUAAUGCAUAUGUCUGGGCAUUUGCUCAUGUUGUCUUGGGUCCAAGUCUCAAGGUUAGAAUGUGGAGACAUCCUGCGAUCCAAGGCAGAACCAAUCAUGUUGUCAGUGGAUGGAUGGGACCCCAGAAUUCCCACCUCCUUUUCCCGUCAUGAAGUUUAUAUCUCGAGGGAAAACAGCUGUCCGGGUUCAGGCCAACUGGGACUGAAGCCAGCUGUUCCUUCUAGAUGCCAAAAGCCAGAUGUACACCCACUCUUCUCUCCCACUCCCUAAGCCCGAAGUCUUAAACUUUAUCAAAUUUAUUAAUAACUUUGCUAAAAACACAUCUCUCCAGGCUCCCCUCCAGAGAAUUUGAUUCAGUGAGUUCAGGUUGACCAGGAAAUCUGCAUUUAAAUAGCAACACCUCCACCCCCUACCUUCUUUCUUUCCCUGGGAAAUUCAGAUACAAUUGCUCUGAGAAUCAUACUUUGAGCAACAGUCUCCACAGUGAAAGCUGGUAAAUGUUUAAGAAUUGAUUUUGGAGUGAAGAGAGUCUGCAUUGUAGCCUAUUGACUUCCAUGAUGCAACUGUCCCCAUCACGGUCGAUUCAAGCUACCAACAAUGACACCCUGAUUUAGCUUUGUUUUUCCUUGUAUCCCCAGCUCUUGGAGUGGUUUGUUUUAGUGACUGAUUCCCAGAGACCUCUAGGGGUUCCAAAGCAGAAAGAGAGGAAAAAGGAACAGGAAAGAAAACGCAAUUAGUGAGGGACCCUGGCCUUGGCCACAUCGACAACCGUGUUCAACCCAGCUUUUAGCAGGAGGAGGUUUUCAAACACCUGCUUCUCCCUUCGUUUGAUAAGCUUUCUGGUCGACUCACAUAAACCUGAUCCUGCUGACCUAGGGGAUGAUGAAAAGGCUGAGUGUUGGGCACCUGAGGGGAUGAAAGGGGCUGGGGGAGGAUCAUGGGGUGGUCAUAUGACCCGGGGUCGCCAGCGGCUUAAGCCCUUUUGUGCCCCCACCCCCACCUCCGGCUCCGGCCCAGCUCUGGAGGGUUUUGGUGAUUUCCUCCCACCCCCGACUAGGCAAACAGAUGUGGAAAGGUCUCCAGUUCCCAGGGCUUCAGACACAACUGCUGGUUGUUUCUCCCCUGCCGAUGGGGCCUGUGAUCACAGAAAGAACAGUUACACAUCACUCCCCAAAGAGCUGGGCCCAGUUAGGCGCAGGUUCAAACACUCUCUGUGUGUCUGCAGUGAAAAACUGAACCGAAGCGGACUGAAAAAUAACCCCAUCCCUCCCUGCCUUGCUCUAAGUCCACUUUGUGGAAAUGCUGAGGACUUUAGGAGAGGCUGGCUUGUCAGCUUUUCCGCGGCGACCAAAUCCUCACGGGUGCCCUGAUCUUUAGAACCAAUGCAGUCUCUCGGGCCUGCUGCUUCUCUUGUCCUGAUUGGUGGUCCUGCCAGAGGGAGUGAGCCCUCUUGCCCGCUUGAAGUCUGGAGCUUGAAGGACCCCACUGCUCUGAAAAGGAUGCCUCUGCAGUGCACUGAGCUUUUACAGCUCAUUGGAUGAAAGGGAGAGAAGAAAAGCAUUAUCAAGAAAGGGCUGCAGGUGUUAGCUUCCUCAUUUACCUUAAUUAUACCACCCCGAUCGUCCAAGGAAUUUCUCAGAGCCUAGCUUUCUCCUACCAGCCACACACCUUUCGUAAGUGGGGCAAACAGAAACAUAAAAAUACCCUAAUGUCCCUUAUAUAAAGAACCUUUCUCAUAUCUACUCCAUCCACAAGAGUAAGCUGGUAUCUAACAAGCUAUGUAUCUAAGAAACAUCCAACAAUGUUUCUAGCCUGUGUAACAGAUGGUGGCCAUCACAGUCUGACACAAAGACCUGGUACACGCAUGUGUUAGCAUGUAGCACACUCACCUACAAAUGCUAUAAGCAAUGAAACAGCAUCCAUUUCUCUAAAGCAAUGGGUCUCAAAGUGAGGUCUAUGGACCCCUGGCGUCCCUGAGACCCUAAGAAGGUGUUUGCAAGGUCAAAACUAUGUUCAUAAUUCCAAGGUGUUAUUUGUCUGCUUCACAGUGUUGACAUUUGGGUAAAAUUGUCAUAUUCUUCACUGCCACAAAGUCGGACCAAAAAAAAAAAGAAACCAAUUUCACUUAAGCGUAUCUGAGAUGGAGCAGUAGAAAUUAAUAAUUUUAUGAAAUCUUGCCCAAAGUCCAAGUCUUUUGAGUAUUAUGUGUGGCAAACUAGAAAGUAAGCAUAAGGCAUUUCUGGUGCUUUCUGAGGUACAAUUGUUUGUUCAGAGAAAAAGCAUUUGUGAGAGCGUCUGAGUUGUGAGUUGAACUAGCCACUUUCAUGAAAUACCAUGUUUACUUGAAAGGACUGAAUUACCAUGGUUAUUCAGACUUGGUUAUUUGACAGUCAUUUUCUCCGAAAGGAACAAUCUGAAUUUGUCAUUUCAAGAAAGAUAAUUGACAGUGCUUGUUGUCAAAAUAAAAACUUUCAAGCAAAAGUUAAAAUUUCUGAAAACUUGUAUCUGUCUCAGUGAGCUUAAUACUGUCUCAGUUCUUAGAGAGGUUUCAGAUAAGAUCAGUGGUGAUAUCAACAAAUGUGAAUUUUUAGUUUUAAUCAUGAAGUAGAUCAGAUUCAGAUCCACAUAACUUAGUGAAGCAAUAUUUUCCAAAUGACCAUGCAUAGAUUACAAAAUCAUGCAUGGGCAAAAGAUCCAUUCAGUGCAACACAGACCAAACAGAUUUUAAUGAAACUGAGUACAAAGAGUUCAUUGAGAUAGUUUCAGAUUCCACAUUGCAAGUAACCUUUAAUAAAUGACCAUUUAUCGAGUUCUGGUAUCGUGUCAAAGAAGAAUAUCUACAAUUAUCUGAAAAGGCUUUUAAAAAUAUUCCUCCCUUUUCCAGCUUCGUAUCUAUGUGAGGCUGGGUUUCCUUCAUAAACUUCAACCAAAACAAUAUUAUCACUGCUGAUUGAAUGCAGAAGUAGAUAUGAGAAUCCAGCUGUCUUCUAUUAAGCCAGACAUUAAAGAGAUUUGCAAAAAUGUAAAACACUGUCAUUCUUCUCAUUAAAUUUUGUUCUGUUUUGUUUUGGAAAACACAGCUAUUUUUACAGUAAGACUGUGCUAUUUUAAAGUUUUAAACAAAUGAAUAAAGUUUUGGAUUUUUGUCAAUUAAUAAAUAGGAAUUUAUCCAUAUAAAUAUAUGUUAAAGGGUUAACAAAUAAGCAUUAACACAAUAUUGACUGGGAGAUUUUUGCAGAAACUAAUGCCCGUGGCUGGCAAUUUAUUAUGUAAGUAUAUAUAAAAACAUCCACAUUUGAGUAUCAACAACUUUAAAAAAAAUAGUUUUCUGUUCUAAUUUUUAAUAUGGUAAAUGACUUAAAUAUCUAUUGCUGCAUAGCAAAAUACUCCAAAACAUAGUGGCUUAAAACAACAAUAGUCACUAAACAAAUGAAGAAGAUGUGGUCCAUACAGCAUGGAAUACUACUCAGCCAUAAAUGAGAAUGAAAUAAUGCCAUUUGCAGCAACAUGGAUGGACCUAGACAAUAUCACACUCAGUGAAGUGACUCACAAAGAGAAAAGCAAAUACCAUAUGAUAUCACUUAUAUGUGGAAUCUAAAAUAUGACACAAAUAAACCUAUCUACAAAGCAGAAACAGACUCACAGGCAUAGAAAAGACUUAUGGUUGCC